AGAACAUCAAGGAAGAAGAAGUACUGGAAGUGAUGGUGGAAGUCAUCAAUACUGAGGAGGAGAAUGAAGGCGCGGUGGUGGAAGAGGAAGAAUCAGAAGAAGAAAGUGAGGAGGAAAAAUAUCAGGCUCUCAUGUGGAGGUGGACGGUGGAGGGCUCCGAGCUGCCAGUAAGGAUACGAACAGUGAAGAAAUUGGAGCCACCCUUUAAGAUGGACACUAUCAAGGAGGAAAUAGAACUGGAGGAAGAAGAGG